rnacentral:rRNA from 1 species
AUUGAACGCUGGCGGCAUGCCUUACACAUGCAAGUCGAACGGUAACAGGUCUUCGGAUGCUGACGAGUGGCGAACGGGUGAGUAAUACAUCGGAACGUGCCUAGUAGUGGGGGAUAACUACUCGAAAGAGUGGCUAUUACCGCAUGAGAUCUACGGAUGAAAGCAGGGGAUCGCAAGACCUUGCGCUACUAGAGCGGCCGAUGGCAGAUUAGGUAGUUGGUGGGAUAAAAGCUUACCAAGCCGACGAUCUGUAGCUGGUCUGAGAGGACGAUCAGCCACACUGGGACUGAGACACGGCCCAGACUCCUACGGGAGGCAGCAGUGGGGAAUUUUGGACAAUGGGCGCAAGCCUGAUCCAGCAAUGCCGCGUGCAGGAUGAAGGCCUUCGGGUUGUAAACUGCUUUUGUACGGAACGAAAAGCCCUGGGUUAAUACCCUGGGGUCAUGACGGUACCGUAAGAAUAAGCACCGGCUAACUACGUGCCAGCCGCCGCUGUAACAC